UACGUAGGUGGCGAGCGUUGUCCGGAUUUACUGGGCGUAAAGGGAGCGUAGGCGGAUUUUUAAGUGAGAUGUGAAAUACUCGGGCUCAGCUUGAGUGCUGCAUUUCAAACUGGAAGUCUAGAGUGCAGGAGAGGAGAAUGGAAUUCCUAGUGUAGCGGUGAAAUGCGUAGAGAUUAGGAAGAACACCAGUGGCGAAGGCGAUUCUCUGGACUGUAACUGACGCUGAGGCUCGAAAGCGUGGGGAGCAAACAGG
rnacentral:rRNA from 1 species